rnacentral:rRNA from 1 species
UAGGGAAUCUUCCGCAAUGGACGCAAGUCUGACGGAGCAACGCCGCGUGAGUGAAGAAGGAUUUCGGUUCGUAAAACUCUGUUGUUAGAGAAGAACAGCGCAUAGAGUAACUGUUAUGCGUGUGACGGUAUCUAACCAGAAAGCCACGGCUAACUACGUGCCAGCAGCCGCGGUAAUACGUAGGUGGCAAGCGUUGUCCGGAUUUAUGGGGCGUAAAGCGAGCGCAGGCGGUCAAUUAAGUCUGAUGUGAAAGCCCCCGGCUCAACCGGGGAGGGUCAUUGGAAACUGGUUGACUUGAGUGCAGAAGAGGAGAGUGGAAUUCCAUGUGUAGCGGUGAAAUGCGUAGAUAUAUGGAGGAACACCAGUGGCGAAGGCGACUCUCUGGUCUGUAACUGACGCUGAGGCUCGAAAGCGUGGGUAGCAAACAGG